ACCAGGCAUGGUGAUACAUGCCUGUAAUCCUUGCUCCCCGGGAAGGCUGAGGCUGCUGGAUCACUUGAGCUUGGGAAUUUUGAGCUGAAAUGGAGGAUAAAGCUAACUGGGUGUCUGUAAGUCCAGUAGCAGUAUGGUGAACUACUGGAAGGGGAGCAGAGUUCCAGGCUGUCUAAGGAAGAGCAAAUCAGCCCAGGUGGGAAAUUGAGCAGUACAAAGCUUCCAAGAUGUCAGCAGUAGGAUGAGGCCUAUGAAUGGCCUCAGUACUUCUAGCCUGGGUGAACUAGGUAGACCCAGUCUCUG
rnacentral:SRP_RNA from 1 species